AAAAUUAGAGUGUUCAAAGCAGACAAGUUAAAACUGUCAUUGAAUAUAUUAGCAUGGGAUAAUGGAAUAAGCCUCUCUGCUUAUUUUGUUGGUUUCUAAGUAGGGAGAAAUGAUUGAUAGGGACAGUUGGGGGCAUUAAUAUUUAAUUGUCAGAGGUGAAAUUCUUGGAUUUAUGAAAGAUUAACUUCUGCGAAAGCAUUUGUCAAGGAUGUUUUCAUUAAUCAAGAACGAAAGUUAGGGGAUCGAAGAUGAUUAGAUACCGUCGUAGUCUUAACCAUAAACGAUGCCGACCAGCGAUGGGAGACGUACACAUGCUGCUCAAAAGGUAGCAUGGA
rnacentral:rRNA from 1 species